UACGAAGGGGGCUAGCGUUGCUCGGAAUCACUGGGCGUAAAGCGCACGUAGGCGGCUUUUUAAGUCAGGGGUGAAAUCCUGGAGCUCAACUCCAGAACUGCCUUUGAUACUGGGAAGCUUGAGUCCGGGAGAGGUGAGUGGAACUCCGAGUGUAGAGGUGAAAUUCGUAGAUAUUCGGAAGAACACCCGUGGCGAAGGCGGUUCUCUGGGACGGUACUGACGCUGAGACGCGAAAGCGUGGGGAGCGAACAGG
rnacentral:rRNA from 1 species